AACGAACGCUGGCGGCAUGCCUAACACAUGCAAGUCGAACGAGACCUUCGGGUCUAGUGGCGCACGGGUGCGUAACGCGUGGGAACCUGCCCUUAGGUUCGGAAUAACUCCCCGAAAGGGGUGCUAAUACCGGAUAAUGUCUUCGGACCAAAGAUUUAUCGCCUUUGGAUGGGCCCGCGUUGGAUUAGCUAGUUGGUAGGGUAAAAGCCUACCAAGGCGACGAUCCAUAGCUGGUCUGAGAGGAUGAUCAGCCACACUGGGACUGAGACACGGCCCAGACUCCUACGGGAGGCAGCAGUGGGGAAUAUUGGACAAGGGCGAAAGCCUGAUCCAGCAAUGCCGCGUGAGUGAUGAAGGCCUUAGGGUUGUAAAGCUCUUUUACCCGGGAUGAUAAUGACAGUACCGGGAGAAUAAGCUCCGGCUAACUCCGUG
rnacentral:rRNA from 1 species